UUAUUAUUAAUGCGUAAUAUUAAUCAUAUGUACGGGGGGAAAAGAACAGAAAAAAAAGAAACAGAAAUUCGACAGGAUAAACGGGAAUCGGGGAAUUACGAAACUAUAAAACGGACUCUGGUGUUUUGGGAAUUAGAAAACCGCUCAAUGAAUUAAAACUAUACAGAAAUUUAGCGAAGCUUUCCUUUAUUAGUACAGCGUAUCAUAAAAAAGUCAAUCCACA